rnacentral:rRNA from 1 species
AUUGAACGCUGGCGGCAUGCCUUACACAUGCAAGUCGAACGGUAACAGGUCUUCGGAUGCUGACGAGUGGCGAACGGGUGAGUAAUACAUCGGAACGUGCCCGAUCGUGGGGGAUAACGAAGCGAAAGCUUUGCUAAUACCGCAUACGAUCUACGGAUGAAAGCAGGGGACCGCAAGGCCUUGCGCGAACGGAGCGGCCGAUGGCAGAUUAGGUAGUUGGUGGGAUAAAAGCUUACCAAGCCGACGAUCUGUAGCUGGUCUGAGAGGACGACCAGCCACACUGGGACUGAGACACGGCCCAGACUCCUACGGGAGGCAGCAGUGGGGAAUUUUGGACAAUGGGCGCAAGCCUGAUCCAGCAAUGCCGCGUGCAGGAUGAAGGCCUUCGGGUUGUAAACUGCUUUUGUACGGAACGAAAAGGCUCUGGUUAAUACCUGGGGCUCAUGACGGUACCGUAAGAAUAAGCACCGGCUAACUACGUG